AAGUCGUAACAAGGUUUCCGUAGGUGAACCUGCGGAAGGAUCAUUAACACGUUUCGUUCCGAACGUUUUCUGACCAUUCUUAUUUUCCGUGCACAAAAAAUACACCCGGCCUCCUGACCAAACUUCUACUUUAUUGUGGAUUUUGUGCCAGGCGCCUUCAGGGUUCAUAGGCAGUUUUUGCGAUUUGAUGUUCUGAAAAAAUUCAUUUUCUAGUACGAACAUUUUUUCGCAUAAGCACACCUCCUGUCGGCGUUGCCAAACAACCCAACCCUUGAACCUAAUUGCUCUGAACUCUUAGUUGUGCUGAUUAAUUUCACACAGCGAAUAAAAACAAACAACAACUCUUAACAACGGAUAUCUUGGUUCUC
rnacentral:misc_RNA from 1 species